rnacentral:rRNA from 1 species
UGGGGAAUAUUGCACAAUGGGGGAAACCCUGAUGCAGCGACGCCGCGUGAGCGAUGAAGGCUUUCGAGUCGUAAAGCUCUGUCCUAUGGGAAGAUAAUGACGGUACCAUAGAAGAAAGCCCCGGCUAAUACGUGCCAGCAGCCGCGGUAAUACGUAAGGGGCGAGCGUUGUCCGGAAUUAUUGGGCGUAAAGAGUGCGUAGGCGGCAAAUUAAGUCAGAUGUGAAAACUAAGGGCUCAACCCAUAGAUUGCAUCUGAAACUGAUAUGCUUGAGUCAAGGAGAGGAAAGUGGAAUUCCUAGUGUAGCGGUGGAAUGCGUAGAUAUUAGGAGGAAUACCGGUGGCGAAGGCGACUUUCUGGACUUGAACUGACGCUGAGGCACGAAAGCGUGGGGAGCAAACAGG